AUUGAACGCUGGCGGCAGGCUUAACACAUGCAAGUCGAGCGCGCGGCGCACGGGUGAGUAGUGUCUGGGACACUGCCUGAUGGGGGGGGAUCACUACUAGACACGGUCUCUAAUACCGCAUACUCUCAUGUGUCCCCAGAUGGGAUUAGCUAGUAGGUGGGGUAAUGGCUCACCUAGGCGACGAUCCCUCGCUGGUCUGAGAGGAUGACCAGCCACACUGGAACUGAGACACGGUCCAGACUCCUACGGGAGGCAGCAGUGGGGAAUAUUGCACAAUGGGCGCAAGCCUGAUGCAGCCAUGCCGCGUGUGUGAAGAAGGCCUUCGGGUUGUAAAGCACUUUCAGCGAGGAGGCGUUACCCGCAGAAGAAGCACCGGCUAACUCCGUGCCAGCAGCCGCGGUAAUAC
rnacentral:rRNA from 1 species